UCGCAGCGACUGCGGACGACAUUAUCGAGUCACAAAACAAUUGAACAAACGGUUUUGUUGCUGGCCUCUCAAACAUAAUAAAUACAUCAGAGAGGAGCCCAAUAAAAUAUCCCAAAAAAAAGGAUAUAUAUAACAUGUUCCCAAAAACAAAUCGGGUCACUCUCUUGUGGAAAUAAAAGAAAGAAGGCAUUUGUGCACGACCUCAUUCGAUUGUCACACUCUCAUAAACCCCUUUGUGCACCUAUUGUAGACAGUUGGUUUGACGGAGAUUGACUCUUCAAAGUUAGUCUUACAAAGACCUAGUCUAUGUUUAACACAACAAACUAGUCAGUUACAGAAUGUGAUCAAACAAUAAAUAUAUAACUUUCAGCAACGGAUCUCUUGGCUCUCGCAUCGAUGAAGAACGCAGCGAAAUGCGAUAAGUAAUGUGAAUUGCAGAAUUCAGUGAAUCAUCGAAUCUUUGAACGCACCUUGCGCUCCCUGGUAUUCCGGGGAGCAUACCUGUUUGAGUGUCAUGGUAUUCUCAACUCCUUCUCCUUAGCUUCUGGCUAGUUGAAGAAGCUUGGACUUUGGAGGGUUGUGUGUCGGUUUCAAUUCAUUUUGAAUCGACUCCUCUGAAAUGCAUUAGUGCGAGAAACGUACAUGCAAAUUGCCUAGAAAAGAGAGGUGUGUGAUAAUAAUAUAUCUACAUCUGCUGGGUGGUUGAAAAGUGUGUGUAUGGAAAAAUGCUUGUGCUUCUAACAGUCUCUAUGAAACGAGACAAACAUAUAUGAAAUAUAAAUAUACAGUCCUCUAUGAAACGAGACAAUAUAUUCAUAUAUACAUAUAUAAUGAAUCUGACCUCAAAUCAGGUAGGACUACCCGCUGACUAAGUGA
rnacentral:rRNA from 1 species